CCUACGGGAGGCAGCAGUGAGGAAUAUUGGUCAAUGGGCGGGAGCCUGAACCAGCCAAGUCGCGUGAGGGAAGACGGUCCUAUGGAUUGUAAACCUCUUUAGGCGGGGAGCAAUGCCGGGCACGUGUGCCCGGAGGGAGAGUACCCGCAGAAUAAGCAUCGGCUAACUCCGUGCCAGCAGCCGCGGUAAUACGGAGGAUGCGAGCGUUAUCCGGAUUUAGUGGGUUUAAAGGGUGCGUAGGCGGAUUUUUAAGUCAGCGGUAAAAUGUCCGGGCUCAACCCGGGCCGGCCAUUGAAACUGGGGAUCUUGAGUGGGCGAGAAGUAUGCGGAAGGCGUGGUGUAGCGGUGAAAUGCAUAGAUAUCACGCAGAACUCCGAUUGCGAAGGCAGCAUACCGGCGCCCGACUGACGCUGAGGCACGAAAGCGUGGGGAUCGAACAGGAUUAGAUACCCCGGUAGUC
rnacentral:rRNA from 1 species